UUUGGAGGCAACCUCUGCUCUAGAGUCUCUCAGUGAACUACAAAUACCAUGGGGCAUUUAUAAGCUCUGGAAAUGCUCGUAGAUUUAUUUUCCUUUCUUUUUCUUUUUCAUUUAUUUCGCAUAAUUAAUCAGAGAUCAGAUUUCUGAAGGAGGGCGCAGUUUUCUGUGACUCCAUUUCGGGGCAGUGUGAGUCUCUCUGUGGGUUAAAGUGAACUCAAUCUUCUGAAGAAGACUACAGAUCGCCAUGGCGGAAACUGAUCAACCAUCAGGGUGCAGCUCUGACAGUAGAUCUCAGGAUGUCACCCUAAACUUCAACUUUGUGGUUCCUAAGAAUGAAAUCAACAUGGUUCCUGACAUGGGCAAGUGGAAACACUCUCAAGUAGGU